rnacentral:lncRNA from 1 species
CAAGUCUCAGCCGUACUUUAUCUGGAGUGUGUUAGACCCUGGCCCCGCCUCCACGGUCAGCCCCGCCCACCGAGCCCCGCCCCGCCCCGACCAACCCGCGGGGAUUUUGGCCUAAACUGAAAAUGAAACCCGGUAAAGGCGCCUGGGGCUCUACCCGGUCGAGGAUCUGGGCUGGUCCCACAGCCUCGGGGUGGAUCUCGGGGCCGGAGACUCGGGGGAAUCCGGGCGGUCCGUGCGGAUGGGGAAGGGUCGUGACCUGUGCUCCGGGCCGGAGUCACUCAUGGGCCUCGCUCUGGUUGCAGUAGCGGAGCAGGGUCCGCCGGUUCACUCUGUCAGUCUGUGCGUGGACCUUGGUGUUCCGUGUGCUCCGGUCCCAAUACUCCGGCCGCUCCUGCUCCACCCACGGCGCCGGCGGCUGCAUCCUCGGACUCGCCGCGUCGCUGUCGAACCGCACGAACUGCGUGUCGUCCACGUAGCCCACGGAGAUGAAGCAGGACCCCCCGCGGCUGGGCCAGGACAAGGCGGUGCUGAAAUACUUCAUGGAGUGGGAACCUGGGGGCGCGGAGGGGCUGAGACCCUCUCGACCCUCCUCCUGGCGCGGCUCCCCGGGUCCUGCGCCCCCGCUGCGCGGGCCCCUCGCUCCUCUUCACAGAGGCCAUUUCCCUCUGGAUCCCGCAGUCACCGGCCCAGGUCUCGGUCAGGGCCGGGGUACCCGAGAGCAGUAGGAGGAGGGUUCGGGACUCCAUGACCCCCUCCUUGGGGUCUGGGGAGAAUCUGAGUCCCAAUGGGUUCGCGGGGACUUCAGAACAGGGACCCCAGCGACGCUGAUUGGUUUCUGUAGAACCCGACACCAAAUGGGAGUGAGAACUGAGUCCACAUCGUGAGUAUCCAGGAAGAAGGACCCUACAUAGGUUGGGAGAGGGAGGAAGAGAAACUCUGCGGAGAUGGGGAAUCCCCAACGCGGGGCCUCCCCAAUCAAUACUCAGCCUUUGGGGCCUGAGACCCUGAGAGCCACGCCGGGGGCUAUGGGACUUCGCCCUGACCCCGCUCCUCCUGUGCCAAGCCUCUGUCUCAAUGUCUCCCUCAGUCUUGGCCCAAGAACUGUCUGAGAAACCAGGGAGAAACCCUCGUCAUGGGCUCCAUCUCUCUUCACUUUUCAUCCCCGAAUCCCCAUCCCAGAACUGGGCUUCCUGCCUCCCACUCCUUACCUGUUCCCCUGGACUCUUCUAGAAGAAAACUCACCCCAGGGAGCUUGGCGCCAGAGAGUGAGCUCCUCCUGGGAAUAGAGAUGUAGAGACAGGUUUUUUUUUUUUUCUUUUUUUUUUUUUUUUUUUUUUUUCUUUUUUUUUUUUUUGAGACGGAGUCUCACGCUGUUGCCCAGGCUGGAGUGCAGUGGCGCAAUCUCGGCUCACUGCAAGCUCCGCCUCCCGGGUUCCCGCCAUUCUCCUGCCUCAGCCUCCUGAGUAGCUGGGACUACAGGCGCCCGCCACCGCGCCCGGCUAAUUUUUUUUUUUUGUAUUUUUAGUAGAGACGGGGUUUCACUGUGGUCUCGAUCUCCUGACCUUGUGAUCCGCCCGCCUCGGCCUCCCAAAGUGCUGGGAUUACAGGCUUGAGCCACCGCGCCCGGCCUUUUUUUUUUUCUUUAAACCCGGAAAAGUUGUGCCUGAGUGCAUGAGAUAGAAUAGAGACCAGUUUGCUCUUUGUUUAUUAACUACAGUGAGUAGCAGAAUCUUGGUAACCCCUGAAUGAUCAGGAAUCUAAUCGGUAAAAAAUGUGACUUUGGCCCUUUGAUAUAUAAAUAUGUCUAAAAGGGUUACAACAGGACUCACAAAGCUCCUAAGUUUCACUUUCCCAGAGAAUGUAUCUGUGACUCCUGCUUGUUGUAUUUUACAUUUACCUUCAUUCCAUAGCCCUGAGUUACUGGGUGAGUCUAAGACAUCGCCUCAAUACAAAGAAGCACACUGUGUUACUGUAUGUUACAACCAGGAGCCGGUACAGACUAUUCACCUCACAGUUCAAGUGUUCAAUGCAGUCACAGUCCCGCUCACCAGUGCUCAUGCACUGCCUGUUUUUAGGAAGUAUUCACGUCUAAGUGGUGUGUAUAUCUUAUAGGAACACUUGGUAUUUUUAAAACCUGAUUAAUAAAAAAAAAAAAAAAUUCAUUUCUAGGCAGUCCCAAAUACGGUAUUAAAGGCCAACUGCAAAGAAGGAACAUUAAGUAUUUUUUAAACUUUAUUAACAUAAAAAACAUUAGUUUUAGGCAGUCCUACAUUAGGUAUUAAAGGCCAACUGCAAAGAACACCCAGCAAGGCUCUGUCGAUGGAUGUAUUAAAAAUCUAUAAAACAGUGUGUUUAAACGCAAGAAUUCUACUGCUUUCCAAUUCCUUCCCUCUGCUCCUUUUCCUAACCUCCUGCUUCUCCAGCCCUUCCCUCUGUCCCUUUCAUCCCUCAGACCCUCCUCUCCCCUUAGUCCCUACCACCCUGUCACUCCUAAAUUGUGGCUCUAGCACUGUCCCAUUACCUGCUACGUGACUGUUCUCUCCACGGUGGUCCUGCUACUGUGAAUCAGAGUGUGUCACUUCCUCACAUAAAACACUCCAGUGGCUCCACCUCCGUCUUGUGAAGCUUCUAGAAUGUCAGGUACAUGAGCAUAUGAGGGCAUACCUGGUUCAUCUUAGGCACUAAAUUAAUUUUUAUUGACUGAAUGAAUGAAAUAUGAGUGUAUUAAUUGCAUCACAGAAAGUUAUGAAAAGUAAAACACUGACAAGUUAAGAUUUUAUUUUAUGUAACUAGUAUGCAUAUCAAUUCAAUUCAUUCCAUGAGUCUGUUGAGCCUGUGUAUGAAUUUUAUAAGAUUGCAUAACAAAUUAUCACAAACGUUGACUUGAAACAACACCC